AUACAGAUGUUAAUCAUAGUCAUUGUAUGAUUGUGUUGUGUGCAUUUUCAGACCCCCAACACUGGAUUUCCAACCUUUAGGGGGUCUGGGUGUCUGUCUCUAUGGGCUACCCACCGUGCCUCGGAGAGCAAGACAUGCUGUAGGUCCCGGUUGCUUCCAUAGAUAGCACCUCACGGUUGCCUGAUAGGGAUUGUUAACCAUAGUAGGGAAUAUUGCAGCCAGCCCACCACAGAGCAGCUUGGUGGACUAAGCUAGAGGCCUAUGAUCAGCAGUGGGCUGUUUCAGGCUGAAUUGUAUAUUAUUGUUAAUUCAGCAGCGUAGCUUCUAAUUUUCUAGAAUCAUAUAUUGAAAAAUA